rnacentral:sRNA from 1 species
CCUCUAAAAGCCUCCUUAGAUAAGAAUGCUAACGAAUGGCAAGAUCUGCCUAUUUAAGGAGAGGUCCUCGCUCUAUGACUUGAGACAAAGUCAACUAGAUAGGCUUGAGCUGCCCCACUAUAAAGAUGAAAUGACUGGGCCUCCUGACUUGGCUUUGAGACUCCCACCAUGACAGUGACUGGCAAGAGUGUAGGGGACUUCUUGGAGAGCAAUUGGAGCUCUCUCUUUCAGCUUGGAACAGCCUUCAUGGAAGGAGCUCUGGGAUUAACAGCUUUCGCCAGCACAUUCGGCGCUACUAAGGGCUCUUCACCAUGGAGCCAUUUCUCUAGCCCCUGCACCAAAUCACUUUUAGUGCCAAGUAAUUAAAAGUCAGGGUGCUGGACCCCAAGGACUCGUGAAGACAAGAGAAACGGAUGCCCCCCACAUCUUUAAAUCAGCUCUGAAGCAGAUUCCUGACGGAAAGUCUGAGAAGAGUUGCCUGCACAACAAUACAUCUGCCUGGGAUUAAUCCAAGACAGCCCCGAGCCCGCCAUGCGCUCCUCCAGGCUGUCUGCCCCAUUGCAGUCUGGGAAACCAAGGAAUGUCCGCAACAUAAGGAGCAGGUUCUGGAGCCAACAGGAGGAGGAUGGGCCAGGUCCCCUGUGAGAGAACAAGGCAGACCUUUGCCUGGGAGCUGUCUUCAGACACACCAGAAGAGGGCAUCAGAUCC